AAAAAAUCAGAGGAGAAUGCCGAAGAUGAUUCCACUACGGCUCGACUUUAGGUGUCCUCCUCGGCAUAGCGUCAUUUAAACAACGAGGGUCAGCACGUAGUAAAAAAAAAACCAGAGGAGCCUGCCAAAGAUGAGGCCAUUACGGCUCGCCUUUAGGCAUCCUCCUCGGGUUAGCAUGAUUUAAAGAACGAGAGUCAGCACGACGUAAAAAAA